rnacentral:rRNA from 1 species
CCUACGGGUGGCAGCAGUGAGGAAUAUUGGUCAAUGGGCGCAAGCCUGAACCAGCCAAGUCGCGUGAGGGAUGACGGUCCUAUGGAUUGUAAACCUCUUUUGUCGGGGAGCAAGGCCCGCCACGUGUGGCGGGAAGGAGAGUACCCGAAGAAAAAGCAUCGGCUAACUCCGUGCCAGCAGCCGCGGUAAUACGGAGGAUGCGAGCGUUAUCCGGAUUUAUUGGGUUUAAAGGGUGCGUAGGCGGGCUGUUAAGUCAGCGGUCAAAUGUCGGGGCUCAACCCCGGCCUGCCGUUGAAACUGGCGGCCUCGAGUGGGCGAGAAGCAUGCGGAAUGCGUGGUGUAGCGGUGAAAUGCAUAGAUAUCACGCAGAACUCCGAUUGCGAAGGCAGCAUACCGGCGCCCGACUGACGCUGAGGCACGAAAGCGUGGGUAUCGAACAGGAUUAGAUACCCUGGUAGUC